rnacentral:rRNA from 1 species
CACGUAGGGCGCAAGCGUUUGUCCGGAAUUAUUGGGCGUAAAGAGCUUGUAGGCGGUUUGUCGCGUCUGCUGUGAAAUUUCGGGGCUCAACCCCGAACUUGCAGUGGGUACGGGCAGACUAGAGUGUGGUAGGGGAGACUGGAAUUCCUGGUGUAGCGGUGAAAUGCGCAGAUAUCAGGAGGAACACCGAUGGCGAAGGCAGGUCUCUGGGCCACUACUGACGCUGAGAAGCGAAAGCAUGGGGAGCGAACAGG